rnacentral:rRNA from 1 species
GACGAACGCUGGCGGCGUGCCUAAUACAUGCAAGUAGAACGCACAGUUUAUACCGUAGCUUGCCACACCAUAAACUGUGAGUUGCGAACGGGUGAGUAACGCGUAGGUAACCUGCCUGGUAGCGGGGGAUAACUAUUGGAAACGAUAGCUAAUACCGCAUAAUAUUGAUUAUUGCAUGAUAAUUGAUUGAAAGAUGCUAUUGCAUCACUACCAGAUGGACCUGCGUUGUAUUAGCUAGUAGGUGAGGUAACGGCUCACCUAGGCGACGAUACAUAGCCGACCUGAGAGGGUGAUCGGCCACACUGGGACUGAGACACGGCCCAGACUCCUACGGGAGGCAGCAGUAGGGAAUCUUCGGCAAUGGACGAAAGUCUGACCGAGCAACGCCGCGUGAGUGAAGAAGGUUUUCGGAUCGUAAAGCUCUGUUGUAAGAGAAGAACGGGUGUGAGAGUGGAAAGUUCACACUGUGACGGUAUCUUACCAGAAAGGGACGGCUAACUACGUG